UUAAUCCAUAUGGAUGUGUGGGACGUAACGACAAGUCUAAUCCCAUCAUUGUAGUCGUGGCCAGAAAUGUAUCAAUUUCAUAGUUAGAAACUGGUUUCCAUUUUGUAAAAAUGGAUGCCCUGCGUACUGGAGUGUUUAUUUUUAUUAUGUAGACUGCAUAACUCUUUAUUGCAUCAACAAGAUUAUCAGAUCUAGUAGAGUAAAGCUCAGUUGACUCAGAAUCGACCCUGUUUUGAAUACAACUAGAUCAACAACUUCUGAAACUCCAAUAAUACUACCUGCAAGUGCUGCUGAAAGAAAAAUAACCUUAACAGCCUUUAAAUUUACUACAUAGAUUCUAAUGCUGACAACAUCAUUUAGAUCUAGAUGCUGCCUGAAGAUUUCAUGUCUGUGGCAUUUUACCUCUCGAGAAAAGAUCUUUUCCCUUUGCAACUUCUGGUGUGGCUAGAGAGGCCAAUCCUUGAUACACAGCUGUAGUCACAGGUUGAGCACAUGUAAUCACCAGGCACCAUUGCAUUGUCACCUUUCUUCCUGCUGCUGUUGUGUAUGGCAUCUGCAAUCCGAGACCCUUCCUUUAUGCUCUCUCCAUGUGGAUCUAUCCAGUGCCACCUUUUCCCAGCUGCUAGUGUCGAUUUUGAAGAUGCACACUAUGAUAAACUCAAUGCAGUUGACUACAAUAAUCUCCAUGUCCACAUUGUUUCAACAAGAACCUGUGUGCAUCACACAUUGUAAGGGUCGAAAUUGAAAAAAAAAUAUUUGUAAGCUCUGUGCCAAAAAUGCUCCUAAUAUUCAAUGAUGAGCUCUGACCAGGAUAACAAUCACAGAUUGUGUCCUGAUGGCACUACAUCUGGGUAUCACUUCAAAAUAUCAUGGCACUAAAGCAGCCAUAACAAAAAGCACAACCAGACCAUUACAUAGGAAAGCAAAGUUACCAGUAUUUCCUAUCAUUAAAAUUGCUAAAAAUGGUAACUCCAAAUGCCAAUGAAUCAUUUCAUUUCCUCAUUUAGCAGAGAUGUUGCUCAUAUUUUAAGUAGAUAAAUGAAGCCAUUUUCUGAUGUGUAAAAAUAUUGAUUAAUUAAGUACUAGAUGCACUGGUAUUUAAUAAAAAUUUUCAGUCCAAUUUUAUUUUAUUACCUUUUUGGUCAUAUGUCCCAUGAAACAAAUGUUGGAAAUUAAAAUGGCCUGCAGGUUGAAUUAAGUUGAGCAGCACUUUUCUAGACUAACAUCAAUACAUCUGCUAUUAGAAAUAUUAACAAUUGUUUUUAUGUAGUGUAAUUUCAUGCUUUCUCAAGGUUAUGAUCCUAUCACUUGUCUGAACCAGUUAGAUAGGGGGUAUCUUAUGAAUGUUACCAUGGUUGCUUUUAAAAUGCUUUUAAUUUAAAAUAAAAAUGUAUCAAGUACAAUUUCUUUCCCUAGUUUGAUACAAAACAAAAUAUUUAAUUUCCAAAAGUUUACAAAAUUGAUUCUUGUUUUCAGGUAGGCUACAAUAAACAAUUGUGCAAAGUUUCAACUUGAUCCAAGAUAGGGUGUGCAACAAAUAAGUGUGCAAACUUUUUCUCACAGUGAGUUGAUAUAAGCUUUAACAAAAAUAAACCUAUUUAUGAAGUCAGAUGUUUUAUUUUAUCUUGAGAUGUCAGUAAUGAUUAAUCAUUUUGUAAUUGAUAGAAUUAUCUUUAAAAAUGGUGUUAACCUAAGUGGCUUGUAAUUGUUUAUUAAAAGUAACUAAUGGUUCCAAUGUAGCUAUUUGUAACUUUAAAGAGAAGCCUUUAAGAAAAAUAAGAACAAUAAAUUUUUUUGACAAUCUUAUUUGUUGUGUGUGUCUUGGAAACUAUUUUGUGUAAUUGCUUUGCUUUAUUAUGGAUGUAAAAUUUAAUAUUGUUACGAUUCUCUCUCCUAAUCAGGCCUUCUGUAAACACUGCUAAACACAACACAACACAUCAAGAACUUGACUACAAGAGCUCCACAAUAAUCUGGUACUUUAAUAAUGGUCAAAUCAAACAGCCAAUACGACACAAUUGGCAACACAAUCAACUGCUACAACGUUAGACUGUAUAUCAUUGUACUAAACUCAUAACUCUACUGUCUCUUCCUGGACUCGUACGUUUCACUGGAGGACUGCACCAGGACCGACUUCAUGGCUGACUAACAGUGCCGGUCUCAAUGCUCUCCGGUCUUGAACUGUCGCUUUCUUACACACUGUGUCUCUCGUCCACGCAGGCUUUCGAUCACAUGACCAUAACAUUGGUCAUAUUUGCGUGUCAUCGUAGUACUGUCCCUUGUCCAUCGCCUGAGUUCACUUGUGAAACCUACAGUUAACCCUUUCGCGCCGCCAAUAGGGUUACAACAAUAUGAUAUAGUAUUCAAUUAAGCUUAAAAAUGUGACAAUGUGAACUAAUACAGUGAUGGUCAAUACUGUUGUUGUGUAUUAAAUAAUAGUUUAAUUGCUUUUAGUUAGUUACAAUGCUAUUAAUAUUAUAAGGCAUUUUUUUUUUAUUUUUGUUUUUAAUAUUUAAUGGUAGGCCUUUAUUUGCUACAGUUUAGCAAAUAUACUGCAUACUUAAAGUAUUCCUACUAGUAAAUUAUGUAAUUUGUUGAAUGCUAUUAAAGAGCUUCCAUAUAAAAUAUGUCUUAACAUAAUUCUUUAGUUUUUAUUUCAUAAUACUAUUACUACUAUUAAUAAUAACACCU